rnacentral:lncRNA from 1 species
GGAGGCUGAGGUGGGAGGAUCACCUGAGCCCAGAAGGUCAAGGCUGCAGUGAGCCAAGGUCACGCCACUGCACUCCAGCCUGGGUGACAGACCCUGUCUCAAACAAACAGGCAAACCAAAACCCUCUUAGUCCCAUUUCCCAAAAAAAUGAUUUUUUUGAGAUCUUACCAUCUCCUGGCUUGAUGCAGAGUACAGGAAAUCAAGACAAAGUACAGCACACAAGGAAUAAGGAGGGAGGGAAGCGUGGGGGAGGCUGACACUGUGGACUCUCCCAGCUCAGUCAACCCAUGCACCUUGCUUCAUGGAAGAAAGGAAUGGAAGAUGAAUCAUGCCUUCAGCACACAGUGACCUUCCUCAUUAGUAAAUGUGCCUCCAGAAGUGUCCAAGACCUCAGUGCCAGAGCCAGGCUGGCUGCAUGAGAAUCACCUGCGAGCUUUUGCAAACAUAGGCCCCUACUGGGUCCAAAUGUAUUCAUUUCUUGGAGAGGAGGAGAGAGGCAGAACAAGGAAAAGGAUGGGAAGAAACCAGCCUUGUGCACAGGAGGAUGCUGGGAUUCCUCCUGCAAGUUUAGCGCAAAGCUGCCUAUUUUACAAGGUCACAGAAGCUCAGAGAGAAGUCCUGGGAGAGAAGCAGAUGUGGUUUCCAAUCCCACUUUCCAGAAGAGGAGACUGAGGCAGAGGCUUUGCAGAUACACAGAGGACAUGUGAGGACAGGUGAAGGUCAUGAUCAUUGUCAGCCCCCUCCCCCAACUGGACAUUCCCAGAUCUGGUGGACUUCCAGCCAGAGGAGAGAGAAAGACUGGAUCACUCAACUCUGCCAUGGGUGCCAGGACCCAAUUUUUCCCUGGCUAACUCUGUCACCUCCUGUCUGGGAUCUCCAACUACUAAGUCUCAGCUAAAACAGCAAUUCAAAGGCGAACUUUUUUCUGAGGCUCCAGGAUUGGGCCAGGCCCUCUCCAUGGCUUUCUGCCCUUCCCCUACUGCAGAACUUAGCACCUGUAUGUCACUAUUGGUUAAAACAUGUGCCUUUCAUAUGCUCUCCACGUUAUCUGCAGCAUCUGCAAAGAAUAAUAAUGAAUGGUAAAACCUAAUCUCUAUUGAGUGUCGAUGAUGCACUUUUAACGUGACAUCUUAUUUAAUCCUCACUAUAUCUGCAAGAGUAGAAGCUAUUAAUAGCCAAUUUUCAGAUAAGAAAAUCAAAGCACAGUUUCUAUAACUUACCCAAGCAGCUAGCUAGGAGGCAGCUCAAUUUGAGCCCAGGGAAUCAGAUUCCAGAAACCAUGUUCUCAAUUACUAGAGCAGAUACCUCCCCAGAAUCUAGUAGGUGGUUAAUGAGUCUUUGUGGAAUAAAUGAACAGAAGGACAAGCAGUGGAUGGAUACAUAGGUGGGUGGGUGGAUAGAUGGGUGGAUGGAAAGAUGGGUGGGUGGGCAGGUGGAUGAAUGAAUGGAUGGUUGAGUCGGUGAAGGGAUGGCUGAGUGGGUGGAGAAAUGGAUGAGUGAGUGA